AUUGAACGCUGGCGGCAUGCCUUACACAUGCAAGUCGAACGGCAGCACGGGUGCUUGCACCUGGUGGCGAGUGGCGAACGGGUGAGUAAUACGUCGGAACGUACCUUAUCGUGGGGGAUAACGCAGCGAAAGUUGCGCUAAUACCGCAUACGCCCUGAGGGGGAAAGCGGGGGACCGUAAGGCCUCGCGCGAUUAGAGCGGCCGAUGUCUGAUUAGCUUGUUGGUGAGGUAAAAGCUCACCAAGGCGAUGAUCAGUAGCUGGUCUGAGAGGACGAUCAGCCACACUGGGACUGAGACACGGCCCAGACUCCUACGGGAGGCAGCAGUGGGGAAUUUUGGACAAGGGGGGCAACCCUGAUCCAGCAAUGCCGCGUGAGUGAAGAAGGCCUUCGGGUUGUAAAGCUCUUUUGUCAGGGAAGAAACAGCAGCUCUAACACAGUCUGCGAAUGACGGUACCUGAAGAAUAAGCACCGGCUAACUACGUGCCAGCAGCCGCCGUAA
rnacentral:rRNA from 1 species